rnacentral:rRNA from 1 species
UACGUAGGCAGCAAGCGUUGUUCGGAGUUACUGGGCGUAAAGAGUAUGUAGGCGGUUGGGUAAGUUUGGUGUGAAAAUCUCCCGGCUUAACUGGGAGGGUGCGCUAAAGACUGCCUGGCUCGAGUGUGGGAGAGGAAAGCGGAAUUCCUGGUGUAGCGGUGAAAUGCGUAGAUAUCAGGAGGAACACCUGCGGUGUAGACGGCUUUCUGGACCAUAACUGACGCUGAGAUACGAAAGCGUGGGUAGCAAACAGG